CGGAAGCAGAGGUUGCAGUGAGCCGGGAUCGUGCCAUUGCAUUCCAGCCUGGGUGACAAAAGCGAAACUCUGUCUCAAAAAUUAAAAAAAAAAAAAAAAAAAAAAAAAGGAAAAGAAAAGAAAUGAAAAAGAAAGUGAAGGGGAGAAAAGCAUCUGUAAAAGCCCAAGGGUGGUAGGAUGAGAGCUCGUUUCCCUGUGCACCUGGGGAUGCACACUCCCCUGGAGGACCAGGGAGGCGCCCUCGUCCUCUUAGGGCCACUCUAGGUGAGGAGAAGGAACCGUCUAUUGUCCUAGAAAGGCCGAUCCUCUCUAGGCUUCCAAAUCGAUGGUGAGCUGGAAGAGUGGUGAUGCGGCUCAUCUUCAGAGCGCUUUCUUGUGCUGUCGUUGUCCUCCAGAGAAGAGGUUGGGGGCUGUGCAAGAUGGGACAAUGACCACCCAGGACGGAGUCUCGCUCUGUCACCCGCACGGGAGUGGCU
rnacentral:lncRNA from 10 species